rnacentral:tRNA from 2 species
GCCUCUAUAGCUCAGUUGGUAGAGCACUAGAUUUGUAAUCCAGCGGUCGUUGGUUCGAGUCCGACUAGAGGCUCCA